CCUACGGGGGGCAGCAGUGAGGAAUAUUGGUCAAUGGGCGCGAGCCUGAACCAGCCAAGUAGCGUGAAGGAUGACUGCCCUAUGGGUUGUAAACUUCUUUUAUAAAGGAAUAAAGUGAGGUACGUAUACCGCUUUGCAUGUACCUUAUGAAUAAGGAUCGGCUAACUCCGUGCCAGCAGCCGCGGUAAUACGGAGGAUCCGAGCGUUAUCCGGAUUUAUUGGGUUUAAAGGGAGCGUAGGCGGGUUGUUAAGUCAGUUGUGAAAGUUUGCGGCUCAACCGUAAAAUUGCAAUUGAUACUGGCAGACUUGAGUACAGUUGAGGUAGGCGGAAUUCGUGGUGUAGCGGUGAAAUGCUUAGAUAUCACGAAGAACUCCGAUUGCGAAGGCAGCUUACUAAACUGUAACUGACGUUGAUGCUCGAAAGUGUGGGUAUCAAACAGGAUUAGAUACCCCAGUAGUC
rnacentral:rRNA from 1 species